rnacentral:rRNA from 1 species
CCUACGGGAGGCAGCAGUGGGGAAUAUUGCGCAAUGGGCGGAAGCCUGACGCAGCGACGCCGCGUGAGGGAUGACGGCCUUCGGGUUGUAAACCUCUUUCAGCAGGGACGAAGCGAAAGUGACGGUACCUGCAGAAGAAGCACCGGCCAACUACGUGCCAGCAGCCGCGGUAAUACGUAGGGUGCAAGCGUUGUCCGGAAUUAUUGGGCGUAAAGAGCUCGUAGGCGGUUUGUCGCGUCGGCUGUGAAAGCCCGGAGCUCAACUCCGGGUCUGCAGUCGAUACGGGCAGACUUGAGUGUUGCAGGGGAGACUGGAAUUCCUGGUGUAGCGGUGAAAUGCGCAGAUAUCAGGAGGAACACCGGUGGCGAAGGCGGGUCUCUGGGCAACAACUGACGCUGAGGAGCGAAAGCGUGGGGAGCGAACAGGAUUAGAUACCCUGGUAGUCCACGCCGUAACGUAGGCGCUAGUGUGGGCGACUCACGUCGUCGUGCGCNGCUACGCAUAGCGCCCGCCGUGGGAGGUACGGCCGCGAGGACGUAAACGUAACGUAAGAAGUUAGACGGCGUUGAGACGUUGCCGACGGCGACGACGAGGGGAGGAGG